rnacentral:ncRNA from 15 species
CCGGCGGAUGGCGAUGGGGUUCGCCUAAUCCCGCAUUUCGGGUGAUGACUCCUACCAUGGG